rnacentral:rRNA from 1 species
GAUGAACGCUAGCUACAGGCUUAACACAUGCAAGUCGAGGGACCGGCGCACGGGUGAGUAACACGUAUCCCACCUGCCCUUUACACGGGGGUAGCCUUUCGCAAGAAAGAUUAAUACCCGAUGUAAAGGAUGGGGAUGCGUUCCAUUAGGUUGUUGGUGAGGUACCGGCUCACCAAGCCUUCGAUGGAUAGGGGUUCUGAGGGGAAGGUCCCCCACAUUGGAACUGAGACCCGGUCCAAACUCGUACGGGAGGCAGCAGUGAGGAAUAUUGGUCAAUGGGCGUUAGCCUGAACCAGCCAAGUAGCGUGAAGGAUGAAGGCUUAUGGGUCGUAAACUUCUUUUAUAUAAGAAUAUGUAUUAUAUGAAUAAGGAUCGGCUAACUCCGUGCCAGCAGCCGCGGUAAUUC